AAAGUUUAACCUGCCCACUGAUUGGAACAAAAUUAAAUGGCCGCGGUAUAUUGACCGUGCAAAGGUAGCAUAAUCGUUAGUUUUUUAAUUGGAAUCUUGUAUGAAUGGUUGGACAAAAGAAAAUCUGUCUUUAUAUUAUUAAUUGAAUUUAACUUUUAAGUGAAAAGGCUUAAAUGGAUUAAAGUGACGAUAAGACCCUAUAAAGCUUUAUAUAGAUAUAUUAUUUAAUUAAAUUUUUAAUAAAAAUUUAGUAGUAAAAUUUAUUUUAUUGGGGCGAUAAGAGUAAAAUUUUUAUUAACUGCUUUAAGUUUUGAAUACAUUUAUGUUUGAUUAAAAUUUUAAAUGAUCCUAAAUAAAGAUUAAAAGUUUAAGUUACUUUAGGGAUAACAGCGUUAUUUUUUUUGAGAGUACUUAUCGAAAAAAAAGUUUGCGACCUCGAUGUUGAAUUAAAAUUUCUUUAUAAUUGCAGAAGUUAUAAAAGUAGGUCUGUUCGCCU
rnacentral:rRNA from 1 species